UCCUGGGGCUUUCUGUACCAGAAUGACUAGUGUGCCUGGAAGAUUAAUGGCAGAGGAGAAAAUGUGAGGGAAGGACAGGUAAGAAAAAGCUCUACCCCCCGGGGAAAAAAAGGGAUUUUACUGCAAGAAGAAAGUAUAUUCUGGUAUUGGUUGGUUGAUAAUGAGAAUGCAGAGCAUCAAAGCUGAAACAGUGUGUGCUGGGUUUUAAAAUCACUGGAGGAUAUAGAAGUGCCUUAAAGAGGAAGAUUAUAGAUAGGCAGACCUACUGGAUACGCCUGGUCCAUUUUUUGUAGGCUGCAGAACUUUCCCCAGUGGUUUGCAGGGUUCCCUUGACUUGCUGCAUCCCUGAACAGCACAGAGCGCAGCAUUGGUGCCUGCAGUAUUGGAGGAUGUAGAUGAAAGCCUUACUAGGAAGAUCCAGGCUUCAGUUCUAGUUUUGUUGAUGCUAAAAUUCCCCUG